GAUCAUGGCUCAGGACGAACGCUGGCGGCGUGCUUAACACAUGCAAGUCGAGCGGUAAGGCUCCUUCGGGAGUACACGAGCGGCGAACGGGUGAGUAACACGUGAGCAAUCUGCCCUUCACAUCGGAAUAACCAUUGGAAACGAUGGCUAAUACCGAAUACGACUUCGGACCGCAUGGUCUGAAGUGGAAAGCUCCGGCGGUGAAGGAUGAGCUCGCGGCCUAUCAGCUUGUUGGUGAGGUAAUAGCUCACCAAGGCGAUGACGGGUAGCCGGCCUGAGAGGGUGACCGGCCACACUGGGACUGAGACACGGCCCAGACUCCUACGGGAGGCAGCAGUGGGGAAUAUUGGACAAUGGGCGAAAGCCUGAUCCAGCAACGCCGCGUGAGGGAUGACGGCCUUCGGGUUGUAAACCUCUUUCAGCGGGGACGAAGCGAAAGUGACGGUACCCGCAGAAGAAGCACCGGCCAACUACGUGCCAGCAGCCGCGGUAAUACGUAGGGUGCAAGCGUUGUCCGGAAUUAUUGGGCGUAAAGGGCUCGUAGGCGGUUUGUCACGUCGGGAGUGAAAACUCAGGGCUCAACCCUGAGCGUGCUUCCGAUACGGGCAGACUAGAGGUAUGCAGGGGAGAACGGAAUUCCUGGUGUAGCGGUGGAAUGCGCAGAUAUCAGGAGGAACACCGGUGGCGAAGGCGGUUCUCUGGGCAUUACCUGACGCUGAGGAGCGAAAGCAUGGGGAGCGAACAGGAUUAGAUACC
rnacentral:rRNA from 1 species